rnacentral:rRNA from 1 species
UGCAGUCGAACGAUGAAGCCCUUCGGGGUGGAUUAGUGGCGAACGGGUGAGUAACACGUGGGCAAUCUGCCCUUCACUCUGGGACAAGCCCUGGAAACGGGGUCUAAUACCGGAUACGAGCUUCCAAGGCAUCUUGGAGGUUGGAAAGCUCCGGCGGUGAAGGAUGAGCCCGCGGCCUAUCAGCUUGUUGGUGAGGUAAUGGCUCACCAAGGCGACGACGGGUAGCCGGCCUGAGAGGGCGACCGGCCACACUGGGACUGAGACACGGCCCAGACUCCUACGGGAGGCAGCAGUGGGGAAUAUUGCACAAUGGGCGAAAGCCUGAUGCAGCGACGCCGCGUGAGGGAUGACGGCCUUCGGGUUGUAAACCUCUUUCAGCAGGGAAGAAGCGAAAGUGACGGUACCUGCAGAAGAAGCGCCGGCUAACUACGUGCCAGCAGCCGCGGUAAUACGUAGGGCGCAAGCGUUGUCCGGAAUUAUUGGGCGUAAAGAGCUCGUAGGCGGCUUGUCACGUCGAUUGUGAAAGCCCGAGGCUUAACCUCGGGUCUGCAGUCGAUACGGGCUAGCUAGAGUGUGGUAGGGGAGAUCGGAAUUCCUGGUGUAGCGGUGAAAUGCGCAGAUAUCAGGA